rnacentral:rRNA from 1 species
UACGUAGGGACCAAGCGUUGUUCGGAUUUACUGGGCGUAAAGGGCGCGUAGGCGGCUUAACAAGUCACUUGUGAAAUCUCCGGGCUUAACUCGGAACGGCCAAGUGAAACUGUCAAGCUAGAGUGCAGAAGGGGCAAUCGGAAUUCUUGGUGUAGCGGUGAAAUGCGUAGAUAUCAAGAGGAACACCUGAGGUGAAGACGGGUUGCUGGGCUGACACUGACGCUGAGGUGCGAAAGCCAGGGGAGCAAACGGG